AAUACUUUGUAUUCACAUGCGGAAUAAAAGCAUAAACACGGCAAUUUACAUUGGAUUAGAUAAAAGCAUUAGCACAAUUGACAUGAAAAGUUCAAAAAGAAAAUGGUAUAAAUAUGCAGCUUCAGAAAAACACAGCUAAAUGGAUAGGAUGUCAGUAAUGUAGCUCAUCGAGCAGCGCAGCUAAAGUGAAUGGGCCUUGGCAGGGCUAGGAGACAGGCCUAGGAGGGGUUUAAUUUAUGGGAACUGGCUAGAUAACUUAGAGGAGUAUAUAUAGUGGCCAUUUUUGGUUAGGGGUCACCUUAAUUAAUCCUCACUUACCUGUUUUGUGCAGGCUGUUUGGUGUCGCUUUCUUGUGUCUUGUAGGUGCUGCUGUUGGAAGAAUGGAGGAUUGGCUGGCUGGUGUCCUUGCCGCUGCUGUUCAGCAGAGAGGUGUUUCCUGGCUCCGGGAGCGUCUGGGAGAGGCCCUGGUCCCACCUGGGCCUUCUGCAUCUGGGUCCACAGCGACUGAGAGAGUGUUUCCUGGUCAUUGGAAAGGCGACUAUGCAUAUGUCAUGUUACAAAAAGUGUCUGUCUUUGAC